GACGAACGCUGGCGGCGUGCUUAACACAUGCAAGUCGAACGAAGAGCGAUGGAAGCUUGCUUCUAUCAAUCUUAGUGGCGAACGGGUGAGUAACGCGUAAUCAACCUGCCCUUCAGAGGGGGACAACAGUUGGAAACGACUGCUGAUACCGCAUACGACCUGACCUCGGCAUCGAGGAUGGAUGAAAGGUGGCCUCUAUUUAUAAGCUAUCACUGAAGGAGGGGAUUGCGUCUGAUUAGCUAGUUGGAGGGGUAACGGCCCACCAAGGCGAUGAUCAGUAGCCGGUCUGAGAGGAUGAACGGCCACAUUGGGACUGAGACACGGCCCAGGCUCCUACGGGAGGCAGCAGUGGGGAAUCUUCCGCGAUGGACGAGAGUCUGACGGAGCGACGCCGCGUGAGUGAUGACGGCCUUCGGGUUGUAAAGCUCCGUUAAUCGGGACGAAAGGCCUUCUUGCGAAUAGUUC
rnacentral:rRNA from 1 species